rnacentral:rRNA from 1 species
UCCUACGGGAGGCAGCAGUGGGGAAUAUUGCACAAUGGGGGCAACCCUGAUCCAGCCAUGCCGCGUGUGUGAAGAAGGCCUUCGGGUUGUAAAGCACUUUCAGUGGGGAGGAAAGGUUAGUAGUUAAUACCCGCUAGCCGUGACGUUAACCACAGAAGAAGCACCGGCUAACUCCGUGCCAGCAGCCGCGGUAAUACGGAGGGUGCGAGCGUUAAUCGGAAUUACUGGGCGUAAAGCGCACGCAGGCGGUUUGUUAAGCUAGAUGUGAAAGCCCCGGGCUCAACCUGGGACGGUCAUUUAGAACUGGCAGACUAGAGUCUUGGAGAGGGGAGUGGAAUUCCAGGUGUAGCGGUGAAAUGCGUAGAUAUCUGGAGGAACAUCAGUGGCGAAGGCGACUCCCUGGCCAAAGACUGACGCUCAUGUGCGAAAGGGUGGGUAACGAACAGG